AUGAAGGGGGUGUGUCUUUUUUCAGGACUGUGAGGGGUUUUUGCUAAAUUUGGAAGCAGUUUCAGUUUGUUUACCUCAAGCAGUUCAUGGCCCUGCCCACCCGGGCCUUAUAUGGCUUUUUCACCCCUUCAUGAACUUCCUCCCAGACGGGUGGGGCCAGGAAGGUGGUGAUGGUGGUGGUGGUAAGACCAGAAAAGGAGUCAUCAGAUCCCACCAGGUUGCUGGGAUUUGAACUCAGGACCUCUGGAAGAGCAGUCAGUGUUCUCAACCUCAGAGCCAUGUCUCCAGCCUUGGCUGGCCUUCUUUUCUAUCUUUUCUACUUCAUAGUGAUAACUAACUUGCAUCUCUGUGGACCUGCUUUCUUUUCAGUGGAUUUACCUAACGCAUAUGGGCUUCUCAGACAAGGUCCACUGUUCUACCUUAGUGUGCCGGUUGCUUUCUUUUUCCUUCUCACUAGGUAUUUUCUUUCCUUUUAUAUUAUAUUUUAUUAUAAUUAUUUAUUAUAUAUUUAUAUAUAAUAGGUUUAUUUUAUAUUCUUUCUUAGAAAUUAUAAAAUAUUUUAAGUGUGUUUGUGUGUCUUAGUUAGGGUUUCCAUUUUUGUGAAGAGACACCAUGACCAAGAUAAGUGUUAUAAAGGGCAGCAUUUAACUGGGCUGGCUCACAGGUUCCUAGGUUCAGUCCAUUAUCUUCAAGGCAGGAAGCAUGGCAGCAUGCAGGCAGGUGUGGCGCUGGAGAUAGAGAUGAGAGUUCUACAUCUUGUUCUGAAGGGAACCCUAGGACUGUCUUCCAGGCAGCCAGGGGAAGGGUCUCAAAGCCCACGCCCACAGUGACACACUUCCUCCAGUAAGGCUACACUUACUCUCACGAGGCCACACCCCCUAAGAGAGUUGCCUUGAGUUCUGGGCCAGCCUGGGCCACAUAGUGAAUUCCAGAGCAAGGCAGGGUAAAGAUAAGACCUUGUCUCAUGAAAGGGGCUGUGGAAUUGGAGAGAUGGUGCAGCAUUUGGGGGCCAUGUGCUGCUCUUGCACAGGACUGGAGUUUGGUUCCCAGGCAUUCAUAGCCACCUGUAACUCCUUUGCUAAUGUACCCACCCGAACUCCUCAGUCCCCUCCAGGCCCAGAUACCUUCAUAGGCUCAUGUGCAAACACAUGCUUAAAAUAAAGAAAGAAGGGUUCCUGUGAGCUUCUUCCUGUCCAGAACAUGUGCGGUGCAGGGCUAAGGGGUCGGGGUUCUGUCCCCUGAAAACCUCUCAUCCUGGGAAGGAGAAAAAGAAGAGCAAGAAGCAAUUGACCCAUUGCUGAAGUACAAACUGAAACGGACAGACGUAAUGAACAGGCAGUGAGGACAUUCCGAAAGUGGAACAAAAGGUAACAAACUCCACCAACCAUGUUCUUCAGAAGAGGUCAGAAUUGAUCGCCAGGAUCCGAAAUUUUGGGGUAACAACCUUCAAAGUCCACUGGAAUCAGAUGGCUCCAGGGUUAAACUUUUGGCGUGCAAGCAAGAGAUCUAGUGCUGGGGUUCUUUUUCCCACCCUUCUCCAUCCCUCUUCUUUGUGCCCCCGUCCACCCCGCAAGCACUAGAGAAGAGAGGAGAGGAAAGAGAUCCCUUAAUAAAGUCUGGUCAGAAAGGGGCAACAGUAUCAUUGGACUACUUCCUGCUGACUGGGGGCAUUGAGCUCCAUGGGGUGAGUUUGAUCUUUGCAGUCAGAAUAUCUAAUUUUUUUCUUCAUGUUUCUUCUUAUGAACGAGACCAACAGCAAUCUACAGCCCAGCCUGCCCCCCUGAAAAGUCCCCAGGAUUCCAAGCAUGGCACAGUUGCAGAAACUGUCUGCCGUUGGCAAAGUCAUGGCCCUGCUAAGGCAGGAGGCAAAUCAUGGUCAGGUGACUUGAAGCAGCCCCAUGUCCCCACAGCUGGGAUUAAAAACAAAAUCACAUUCUUAUAGUUCAGUGUUUUUAAGGAAACCAAGAUUCCAAAAUCCUCACUCUAUGAGCUCGUCAGCCUGCGUGUAACUCUAAACUCCAGAGGUGGAGCUUGGACUCCCCAGAGCAAGCUGGCCAGCCAUAUCGGUGGGCUGUGGGUUUGACUGAAGGCCUUGUCUUGAAUAGCCAGUCAUUGUUGUUCUUCUUGUGACUUGGGUUGGGUUUUGGUCUCUUACCCUGCUGCAGAGCAACAGCCACUGGUUAGGGUUUAAUUUUUUUUGUUAUGAUUUUAUUGCUGUUGUGUUGGUCAUGGGGUUAUGUUGCAUGUGUGCUGUAGCGUGUACAGAGAGGUCAGAGGACCCUUCUACCUUUAGAACAUGGUGGAGUUCUAGGCAAAGAAGAGUUUGAAGAGGCCUCUUGGCUGUGGGCCCUACCCGCCUUCCUUGGCAGCGAGGAGACAGGUAGGGGCUAUCCCAGUGUCUGUCCUAUCCCACCAGUCUGUCCAGUGCCAGGGCAGUCAUUUUUGCAGCCUUCAUCUCUGCAGGAGGAGGUGGACUCAGGUCACUGACUUCAGAGCACACACUUUACCCACAGAGCAAGCUCCCAGUUAUGUGGGAAACACCAGUUCAGGCCAUUACGUCCCUAGACCCACAUGCUCUGAGGAUCUCAACUUUUCAGUUCUGCAACAUGAAAUUUUGCUGUUGGGUACGGCUGGGUCUAACUGGUAUUCCAAAAGAGUAUUCAAGUCUGUGAACAGGAGCUAAGGGGUUGGCGACCAUAUUAAACCCUUUAAACCUGUGAUUGGUGGCGUUUCCCAGUCCUUUAAAGGGGCUGAGGAUGGGGGUGUGGGUGAGGGAGAGAUGUCUAAGACUUGUACCCCAGGGGCCCUGAGAUGGUUCUAUGGGGAAGAACUCUCACCACCAAGCCUGAUGACCUCAAGUCACAUUGAUUCCCAGGCCCACGUGGAAGGAGAGAACCAGUUCCCUAAAACUGUCCUGUGAUCUCUGUACACAUUUAUGCAUGGAUGCACCUACACAGACCUACACACAAAACAAAUGCUUCAGAAGCAAAAAACAAAACAAAACCAAAAAAAUCCAAUGCUGCUCCCCUCCCCCCACCACUGAAUAAACCUUGAGCUGGCAAAAUGACUGAAUGGGAAAAGGGAAUUACCACCAAGGCUAUCAGUCUGAUUGGAUAUGGGCAGUUUUCUGUUGGUUUGUGGGGAAAAAGAAACCUAAGGCCAGGAACUGGAAAGUGAAAGUGGAGGAGGCUGUGGGCGGGGCUUGUCCCCCAGCCAGCGCUCUUACAGGACAGUGCCCGGCUUCAGUACCUUGUUUACUGGCCCUGAGCAUUCGCAUUCUGAAAGACUGAAGCUGUGGAUGACACUGGCUGCAAGGUCCCAGAGGCAGUAAUUAGGGCUCAUCACAGCACUCUCUUGAACCUUUGCCUAAAACUCUAGUGAGCGUGGGAGGCACAACCCAGCACCUGCUGGAUAAAGGGUUACUUUGACUCAUUCCUUUUUCUCUUGUGCAGUCUGUCCUCAGCCCUCCCAGGUAAUGAGCGCCUAAACCCAUGCUCUCCCUGUCCCCUCGUUCUUCUUUGCCAUGCAUGUGGCAAAGAUUAAUUCUCCUGAUGUUGAUUUUGGAACGGGGACAGGACAGACAAAACUUCCACACAAGGCUGCUGGGGAGAGGAGAGCAGUAGGAGGAAGACAGGAUGCUCAUUGAGUAACAAAGGAAUCCUUGUUUCUUUUACCCAGGCCCACCUUGCACUGCAACUUUCCAGCCAGGUUUCUACAGAAAUCCCCACUGCCCUUUGUUUGCCAUUUGUCCGCUGCUUAGCAUUGACUACCUGGAACUGCCAGGCUCCCCAAACCUUUAUAUAUUAUCAUUUCCCAAGUGAGUUCCCAAAGCCAAGGCUGCCUCUGGCCAAAAGAGGUCAGUGUGAGGGGCUGGAGCAGUGACUCAGUGGUUAAGAGCACUGGCUGCUUUUCCAGGGGAUCCGGGUUCAAAUCCCAGCACCUGCAUGGAGACGGAGGCUCACAACCACCUCUAACUCCAGCUCCAGGGGUGAUAACGACCUCUUCUGGUCUCUGAGGGCACCAGGCAUGUAAGGGAUGCACAGAUAUGCAUGUAAACAAAGCAUGCAUUUAAUACAUUUAAAGAAGGUUUUAAGAGAUGGGUGUGAUAGAACACCUGGCCAUCACCAUCAUGGGACAGGAGCUGCCCUGGUGACUGAGCCGAGACCCCACCUUGUGGCCAACAAUGGCAUAGGCCACAUAUAAAAUUGAGGGGGCUGUUGGCAUUUUUCUGUUGGAAACAAGGGAGCUAACUUUAUAGAUAGCUGCCCUCCUAGAGUCAUUAGCCACCACCUCCUCCCUGCUCGCUGCCAUUGGCUGAUACUAAGGUCGUUAAUGCAUCUUAAAGGAAACAUAAACCAGGGCAGGGGCACUUGGGAGGCACGACCACCCGAGGUUAUACCCAGUGAUCCACACACUACCUUGAGUCGGACCCAUUACUCAUGGGUGAGCCUUUCCGUCAUUUUCUGAGGGGUUGGUACUGUCCAAACUCAUUAGAAUGUGGUCUGCUGUGUGAGAUGAGAAUGCCCUGGCAGAGUUUAGUCUCUGUUUGUUUUAUAAAGUGUCCAGACAGAGAGCAGCCUGAGGGAGGGAGGGAGGACUUUAUUCAGUUUAUAAUUCCAGGUUACAGUUAUCAGGAAGCCAAGGAAGCAGGGAUUUAGAACAGCCAGCCAUGCCACAGUUAGAAACACAGCCAGCCAUGCCACUGUAAGAUAGAUCCAUAGCCAGCCAUGCCAUUACUGAUGGUUGUGAGCCACCAUGUGCUUUCCUGGGACUUGAACUCAAGACCUCUGGAAAAGCAGUCAGUGCUCUUAACCGUUGAGUCAACUCUUCAGGUCUAGACUUUUUUUUUUUUUUUUUUGAAACAGGGUUUCUCUGUGUAGCCUUGGCCAUUUUGGAACUUGCCUUAUAGGCCAGGCUGGCCUUGAACUCAGAAAUCCACAUACCUCUGCCUCCUGAGUGUUGGGAUUAAGGCUUGUGCCACCACCACCCAUGAAACAGCAAACACUCUUAACCACUGAGCUAUCUCUCCAGUCACCAUACAUCCCAGGCCUUUUAAUGACCUUGUGUGGACUCUAAAGACACUGGAUGUCUAGAGAUAAACAGACAGCAGAGUUGACCAUGGUGUGCCCUAUUCAUGCCAUCUCUCUGGCCACUUAAAAAAUAUUUUUAAGAUUUAUUUAUUAUAUAAAGAUGUCUUCAGACACAAUAGAAGAGAGUAGCAGAUCUCAUUACAGAUGGUUGUGAGCCACCAUGUGGUUGCUGGGAUUUGAACCAGGACCUCUGUAAGAGAAGUCAGUGCUCUUAACCACUGAGCCUUCUCUCCAGCAUUUGUUUUGUUCUAAAACAAUGACCAUAAGAGGAAUGGUGGACUUCUAGCUUGUUCUGCCUACAUUAACAAAAGCACAUCACACCCCCAGCUCACAAACCUGUGUGCAAUGUCAUUACCACCACACAACGGUGCUGCGUUACACUGUUGGAAACCGCAUUUCCACUCAGUGCAGGUAAAAGCAAUAGGAAACACCCAGCCCAGAGUCAGAUUAUUUUCUGUUGUGUAGUCGGGUGUCCAGGGAGGCAAGAAGGUCUGGGAUUGCCAGUUCUUCACAUUGUCCUCAGGGGAAGCAGCUCCCUCAGAUGUUUAGUCAGAACUUGUCGCUCAGCCCCACGAGGCAACUGUCUGAAGCAGUAGAAAAAGAGUGCUGAAGUCAUUGUAAAAACCAGCCAGCCCUGGCAUAUCAAGUUGUAGUUAUUUUAUAAAUUAUGUUUAUAUGUGUGUUUGUGUGUGGGUCUAUGAGUGCAGUGCCCGAGGAGGACCAAACAGCAUCUGAUUUCCUGGAUCUGGAGUUGCAGGUGGCUGUGAGCUGCCCCCUUAGUGCUGGGAACCGACCUCUGGGUCUUUGCAUGAUGUAGGCUAUGCUCUCUUAAGAGCUGAGCCACCUCUCCAGUCUGUUCAGUACUCUGUAAACAUACAACACUGUAGCUAUACAAACGGUAGUUAUUAGAUGGUCAAUUAUAUGCUAAACCCACCAUGGAAUGUCUCUGUCUUGCUAUGCUGAAUCCACUGGAUCAUCAGAAAGACGAAUAUGGUUUGCAGUUCUGUGUGGAUAUCAGCCAGUAAAUAAGUGGUUACCAAGCUACAGUCUUCUGGCCCAGAGAGGUUAGGCGUAGAGGAAGGGACACAGGGCUCUCCCUGAGAGGAAAAGUAGGAUAGAUUUUAUGGCUGGACUGAUGCCGGGGGUUGGGGUUGCACAUGAGCAGGAUAAUGAGGUGUGGGGAGAAGGGAGAAGAAGGACAUAAUGUGGGGAGAGACAGCUAGAAUUGAGGGGCAGAAGGGAAGCCAAAUGUAGUGGAAACUUCUUAUAAUAUGAAGUCUAUAAAUAGUGAGGGAGACAUUGCCCUAACUGGCCAUCUCUUGCCACCAAAUGAAACUUCCAGUACCAGAAGUGGGUUAUAUCCAAUCGAGUUAUUGAUCAGAAGGGUCCCAUAGAAAUCCCCAAGCAAUCCAGGCUGUUACCUCUCACAAGCUGACAGCAAAAGCCUUGCCACCCAUGACCUCUCCAUGUCACUGUUAAACUGGGUCGUUGAUGGGAGAGUUGGGGACGAGGAAGGCAGCAUUUGACACAGGCCUCAGUGUCCCAAACUGGAUUGCUUGCAGGACCCGUGCAAAGCUGAUCCAAGAAGGGCCACAAGAACUGCAUGUGGCUCUGGUUACACUGCAGAAUGCACUAGUGGGCAUGAGCCACGAUGCAGAUGGCAGGCACUGGAGACCUGGCUGGUUUGGAUCUCCAUGGUAACCAAUUACACAGACUCUAAGUGCUUGCUGAGGCAGGUGCCUUGGGGAACACUCAGGACCCAGUUAGGGGAACCAGGGAACACAUGGCUGGAUCCUUGCAAAGCAGCAGUGCCAGGUGUGAACACUAAAACCGUUAAUGGUAGCAAGUUUCUGAAGGGUCUAAGAUUAAGUGGCAACUCUUACAAAUGGUGGAAUAUGGAAAGUGGAAGUGAUUUCCUUGGGGCUGUCUACAUCACAGCCUGAGGACCAAUUCGAGUGUGACAGGGACAGUGGGGGAAGUUAGGAGCAAUUUUAUCUUCUAUAAAGGCUAAGUUACUCUCCAUAUUGAAGAAUCUGCGAGUAUAUGGUUGGAAUAGGGUAGCAGAUAAAUACUGCUAAAUGUUUGUUUGGUCUGCAUUAAGCACCCCAGGCCUGAGUUUCCUGCUUGAUACCCACAGACUGAUUAGAUGCAGCAGCGGGGCGGGCCUAAGCUCUGGAAUGCCUUUUGUUCCUGCCUCACUCACCUGAUUAGUGGAGAUGAACCAGGAGGCAGCUUUUAGGGAAUGCACUGGUUGUUGCCUUCUUGGGUGUGCUCCCCGAGAACUAGACUCUGCAGAAACCAGGAAAUGGAAAGAGAAUUCACAGAAAGUGGUUGAGGCCCAGAUCUCACCCUCCAGCCUUAAAGGACAUCCUAGGACAGGAUGAAUCUGAUUUGUUAGCUUGUGUAGCUAAUUGUCGCUGUGAAAGCCUUUUCAGCCAGGGGCAGACUGCCCCCUGGUGGCCAGGCUGAGAAACUGUUGUCCGCCUGACUCUGGAUGAGUUCUCUGUUCCAAGUCCAUGCUUGUGUCCUGAACUGUUAUUCUUCUAUCUUAAAAGAAACACUAUUUCUUCCUAUCAGUCAAAAAAUCAAUCAAUCAAUCAACCAAACUACCUACCUAUCAACCAAUCAAUCAGUCUGUUAGUCUGUCUGUCUGUCUAGCCUGGAAUUCACACAGUUCCUGUAUCUGCCUCUCGAGUGCUGGGAGUAGAGGUGUGUCCCACCAACAUCCAUCAAGAGACAGUAAUUCUAUAGACAUAACGCAUUUUGAGUUGUAGGCGGACCUGGUACUAGGAUGAGUGACCCCAUUAUCUUGUAACAGAUGUCACUGCCUAAUGCCUGCCACACGCAGUCUAAGUCAGAUGCUGACACUGCAGCUGGUCCACCAGAAUCUGAGGUUUCCAGUUGUCAGCUCUUGUUGGUUCUCAGGUGGACCCCACAGUGUACUCUUAGGACCAGUAUGGAGUCACCUUCUGCAGAAGAAGAGGCUGCAAUGUAUUCUCAGAGCCAGCCAUCCCGAUGGCUUUGUGGACACUUCUUUCCUGGCCUUUUGUCAGUAUGUCGAAGUAGGAUUGAGUCGUGCUGCCUGUUGCUUGGCCUUGGUUUUACCAGUGCUUUGUGGGUGAAGGAGCCAUGGAGGUGUGUUACCACGGAAGCUUUUUACGGGAAUUUUUAAAUUCAGUGAACAUUUAUCAAAUCUGUCUGGGACUGUGCUAAGUACACAGCCCAUUGUAUUGUACAGGAGCCAGGACUGGUCAUUACCCACAGCUCACGGAGCAGAGCACAGGCUGUGGGAUUAAGAUGGGCAUGUGAAGGUUCUCCAAAGCCUGGGGACCUGUGGCACAGAAUGCUGGAACUUACUGGUACUGAAAUGUAACUAUGACAAAAGCCUGUGGGAAAAGGUAAUGAAGUGUGUGGAGUUCGGGCUUUUAUUACAGCAAACAUCAUUGCCUGUCAGAGCACUGUAUCUCUGUACCUAGGGCCAGGGAGCUGGAAGGGAUAGCUAGAGCAGACCGGUUCAUGAACCCAUCUGCCCUAUAUUGGGGAUGGAGUUCAAACCAUUUAGGGUCGGGUCCGCAAGUUAGCAGGUGGCUGGGGCCAUCUUCAGGAGUUCUCAGUAUAGAGGAGAAAUGAGAGCCCCAGGCUGAAUUCCCAGUGAAGAAAGAGAGGGAGCUGCAGCCUUGUCCAGUAGGGCAGCAGUGUGGACUGCAGGGCUGGGUUCCUCUGUAGAGGCAUCUCCUAAAGGUCCUGGGGUCAGUAGCAUGAGGAGAAUUUUCAGACAUCUUACUUCCUGUCUGGGAAGAGGAGUAAGCCAGUUAGAGAAAACCAGGAAUGUGAAGGGAAGGGAGGAGAGAAAGCCCAGAGGAAGACCACAGAUGUUGAAGGUGUUUUGGUUGGGGGGCAGGGUCAGGGUGGCGUUGACCAUUGUGGUGCAGUGGACCCAUUGAAGAGAUGAGUUCAAAGGCCCAAUAUAGAGGAAAACUAGAGUAUAAUAUAGUGGAGGGAGGUGCAGGCAUUGGAAUAAGGAUGUAAUUGUCAAGAAAUUUGGCCAUGGGAUGGAGAGAAAACUCAGCAAUUUAGGAGCACUUGCUUCUCCCUUUCAGAGUUCCGAGCAGCCACAUCCAGCAGUUCACAACCACCUGUACUGGUGAUGGCGUUCAGAUAGUUGUGCGACUACAGCUCAGCUAUAUGCUGAAGUAUUUCUGCAUCAGUAGGUAGUAAUGAGUAACUGCAACAGCAGGAAAAACAUCUCUCAACCAUAUUCCCCACCCCUAGAGCUCAAGAUCCCCAACAGCCUAGGGUAAAGAAAGGGUCGUCUGGCCGCACCUGCGACUCCGCACUGCCACCUGCUGGUGCAGCUGCGUCUUGGCGGCGCAGGGGAAAUCCUGAGGUUGUGUUUGUCUGGAGUUGGGCUGUGGAGCACGCCUUUAACCCGUUUUUCAGGCUGAAACAAGAGGAUUGCUGUGAAGUGGUAAGCUAUCCUGGGCUAAAUAGCACGACCUUACCUCAUAAAACAAAAAUUACCUUCGAGCUAUUGCGUCGCUGCCGUUUUUAAACCGUUUUGCUUCGUUCUUCUCGUAGCAGAUAUCAAUGACUUCUAAUUAAACGUUAAAGCUGAACGAAGUUUGGAAAAAUUUUUUCUUUUCUUUUUUUUCGGGGGGUUUUAUCUCCUGAGACAGGAAUUCUCCGUUUAGACCUGGCUAUCUUGGAAGUCAUUCCGUAUACCAGGUUGGCCUCGAACUCAAGACACCAACUUUCCACUGCCUUCGGAGUGUUGGGACUAAAGGCGUGUGCGACCAUGGCUAGCUGGCAUUAAUUUCUAAUACCAUCUGAGUCCAUCCUUUGAGUGAAAUGGUGUCACUACCCCCCCUGCCCCCCACGUAGGUUCAAGUAUUUGAAAGGUUGGUGUGGGUCUGGUAGUGGUUUUCUGGUACCUUUAAGAAGGUGGAGCCUUGCUAGCGGAAGUCCCACCCAGUGGGCGGGGCUCCAGAGUGUUCAGCUGUUCCGGCGUAGCGGAGCUUGUGCGCCAUGACACCUCAAAUCUCAAAUGCCACCACAGCUCCAAUGAUCACAGCUCCAAUAAUGGCCACAGCAGAGACGGCUCCAACGACAACAUAAAUGACAUUGGUUUCCAUGUUGGAAUCAGUGGAUGAAGGAGGCUCUGGGAAGGACAGUCAGUUUUGGCUUCAAAGAGGCACUGGCCUCAGGGUCACAAGGGUCUUCAGACAUCUGAAUGCCUUCCCAUAGAAGUUGGAAGCACUUUGAAGACAAACGGUUACUUAUGUUUGCUGGUUCCUGCCUCCCAGAAGACGCACACUAUGGGUUACAUCUGUGAAUGUCAAACAGACCCUGGGCUCUGGGACGGUCUGUCAGGGCACUGAGGGAUUAGGUGAGGCAGGUAAGUCUUCCUGCUGCCAUUUCCAGACACAUACCUGCUUGCUGGUGGAAGCCAUCUGCUCUCUGACUCCGGUCACCAGAGCUGUUGUAGUAUUGCUGAAUGUUUCUCAGGCUCAACUGGAAGAUCUUCAUCCGAUUGGUGAAAACCUGGGUCUCCUCAUCAAAGUAAUAUGGAUUUUCCCUCAGCCAGUCAGCACAAGGCUCUGCCUCCAUCUUCCUACUGUCAUAGUGGAUGAAGGGCUGGUUAUCUACAAAGCCACUGGCAAAAAAUGCAGGAACUCCUGGGCCCGGCUCUGUCACGGCUGAGUAAGAAUAGUGCAGAGAGUGUGAUCCUGAGGUAAGAAAAGGAUUUAGUGUGAGGUACCAAGUGCACGCGCGCACACACACACACACACACACAGACACACACACACACACACAGACACACACACGUAAAUGAAAACAAUAACAACCCACCAGCUAGGAGAGUCAGAUUCCACACUGUGCACUAGGAUAAUUCAGAGAAUCAACAAAUGAGCGUUAGGGGCUGGGGCCAUGGCUCAGAGGUUAAGAGCAUGUGUCACUCUCAUAGAGGACCUGGUUCAAUUCUCAGCAUCUACAUGGCCUCUCCCAACCGUCUGUUCUUCCACCUCCAGGGGAUCUCAUGUCUUCUGACCCCCAAAGGGUGCGGUCUGUGUGUGGUGCACAUAUAAAGCUGCAGCACCUCAGUCUCUCCAUAGCAGAGUUUUGAUUUUGUUUUUAGUUAAUUAAGGAAGGUAGGAUACAAAGUGAUGGGUUUCAUCUUCCCGCCUUUGUGCAUUUGUGCAUUGUGCUUGUGUAUAGUUAUUUUGUAUCCUAAGUGCUGGGGGCUGAACUCGGGACUCUGCAUCCCAGACAGCUGCUCUCCGGAGCACUGCCUGUCGUCCCAGCAUUGUUUCCUUUCUGUGAAGAUCAUUUUAGGGCCUGAAGAGCUGGCACCUGCUGCUCUUACAGAGGAUUCAAGUUUAGUUCCCACACCCACAUGGCUGUUAACAACCACCUGUAACUCUAGUCUCAGGGGAUCUGGUGUCCUCCUCUGACUUGGGCAGGUGUUUAACCUAUGUGAUGCACACCCCACCCCCAACCACCCCUACAGAGGCCAGGAGAGGGUUUCUGAUGCCCUGGAGGUGGAGUUACCAGUGGUUUUACUGGGAACUGAACUCCCACCCUUUGCAAGAGCAGUAUGUAUUCUUUACUGGUGAACGACCUCUGCUGCCUCUGCCAUUAGACUUUGUUACCAUUUGAACCAUCUAAGCAGCCUCUGCCAUUACAGUCUGCUACCAUUUGAACCACCUCUGCAGCCUCUGUCAUUUGACUUUGUUACCAUGUCCUCUUCCCCUCACUGUUGAGUUCCACACUCCUUCUCCUUCUCCAGCUGCUUCCAUUUCUUCCCUAGUUAAACACAGCUCUGCUGCUUCUGUUUUUUCACAUGUUCUGUAUCACCUGCCUCCUUUAAGAUCUCUUCCAUGUUUCUAUCGUGUUUUGCAAUCCUCCCAUAUAUUUAAAAGCACAUACACACAUGGGUACAUAAUUUUGUUUUUUAAAAAUGUUCAUUUUUGAGACAGGCUCUCAUGUAGCUGAGGCCGGUCUUGAACUUCUGAUCUUUCUGCAUCCACCUCCCAAAUGCUGGGAUUACAGGUGUGCACCAUCAUACUCAGCACACACACCCAAAAUAAUAAUUUUAAACCGGAGUUCUAGAGAUGAGAAAAUUAUAUUUGUCCUUCUGAGGCUUGCUUAUUAGAGUAUUGAUUUCAUCUAUGAGAGAGAUUGAAUCCAUCUCUCACAGUAUCAUAAUUUAAUUUUGCCUUAAAAUGUCAUGGAAUUUCAUUUUAUAGCCAAGUAAGAUUUCAUUGUGUUAUAUCAAACUCUAAUGUGUAUUUGUACUUUAUUUUUUUUUUUUUGAGGCGGGAUUUUUCUGUGUAGGCUUUGCUUUUCCUUAUCUAGUUGUCUGUGCAUGCACACCCAGGCAGGAUUUCCAGGUUUUGUGGGUGUUCCCUGUUUGGAAGGAUGAGAAGCCAGCCCACAUCCUGAAAUACAUACAGUAGUUAUUUUCUGGGGUCAGGGUGAUGUCCAGGGUUGCCUAGAACUCAGCAGUCCUCAUACUCAUCCUCCAAAUGAUUACAGGCCACAGGCGUGAGAUACCAUACCCAGCUCCAUUUCAACUGCCUCAGUGUAGAAGAAAGCUGAGGGGGAGCCCAGGCUUCUCCCCUCUAACAUUCUAUAACCCAAAGCCUCAGGAGUCUGCUAGAGGCUCCUAAGAUGAGCUGGUAGCUUGUGAGUGUCAGCCUGUGAGCCACAGCCAGAACCCCUUUUAUCCCAACCUCUACAAAGUUUUCUGACUCUAAGUUUCUAUGGUAGUAGGGGAAGUGGUGGACGGUCCACCCCCAAUACCUGGACAGGCACUCCACCUACUGAGCUCAUCUUCAGCGCUGAGUUCUCUCCUUGUUUUUUUUUUUUUAAGACUUAUUUACUUAUUUAAUGUAUAUGAGUACACUGUCCGUGUCUUCAGACACACCAGAAGAGAGUAUUGUCAGAUCCCAUUACAGAUGGCUGUGAUCAACUAUAUGGUUCCUGGGAAUUGAACUCAGGACCUCUGGAAGAACAGUCAGUGCUGUUAACCACUGAGCCACCUCUCCAAACCUCUCCUUGUUUUUUGAAAAGGCAGCCUUUCCUUCCCAGAACUUGUGACUUUUACUUCUCCACCUACCUGUCACCUGUACCCUGUCACCUGAAUCUUGUCACCUGUAUCCUGUCACCUGAAUCCUGUCACCUUAACCCUGUCACCUGAAUCCUGUCACCUUAACCCUGUCACCUGUACCCUGUCACCUUAAUGCUUCCUAUGCUUCCUUGACCUCCUGCCUAGGAAAGUCUCCUUUCUUCUGCUGUGCACCUUCACAAGGGGCCCCCAAGUCCAUAAACACAUCUGCUAUCUGAUAAGGCACCCAGCACAAGAAAGGAGUUAGAGACAGGGAACCCCAGGACAAAGGACCUGUCUCAUGCAGUUGGGCAGACUGUCCCAUGCCCAGCAGGGUUCUCUGUAGAACUGCAGGGUACACAGGCUGAGCUUGCAGUCAACUGUGAAGGCAAUGUUAUGUUUCAGGUUCUUCCUUGAGGACCUUAGUCUGUCCCCCUCUUUAACUGGUAAGGGCCUUCCACAUGAUGGAGGAAUUUCUGCCGAUUUAAUGUAAGUCCCACCCAAAAGCAGCCUCACAGAAACGUCUAUAGUAAUGUUCAGCCAAAUAUCUGAUUGACACAUGAAAUUAGCCAUUAUAACCAGCUCGCAGAAAUACAUAAUUGCACAUGUUAUGUCCAUGAGUAUUUGCAUGCAUCUGUACAUGAAGCUGAGGCAGGAGGAUCAUGAACUCGGGGGUCACAUAAAUAGAAUUCUAUCUCAAAAUAAUUGACAAUGACAACUGUAGAGAGAUCCUCUUGUGUCCUGGAUGGAUGCUCACCUGACUAUUAAAAAGCCUAUGGCCUAAGCAGGAAAUAGAGGUGGGAUGAGGAAUUCUGGAGAGGAGGAGUCAGGGAGAGGAGGUGGGGUGGCGGGUGAGGAAACACCUGGUACCUGAGCACAGGUAACCAACCAGUCAGGUGGCAAAUGUAGCUUAUGGUGGAGCCACAGUAGAGCCUAGCUACAUCGACAAGGGGUCUGUAAAUGUAACUUGAGUCUGAGUCUUAGUUCUGGGAGCUUGGGCUGGCAGGAAGAACCCGGACUUAACUUUAUCAAAUGACAAUGCCUGGGAGACUUCUCAGCUAGUUAAGUCCCCUGAUGCCACCCAUAAUGUGGAAGGAGAGGUGAUCCAAACAGGUCGUCCUCUGACCUCCACAUCUGGGCUGUAGUGUGGGUUGCAGGCUACACACAUGAGCACACACAAACAUGCAUAUGAAUAAAUUUACACUACAGUGUGCACAGUGUGUGCUUUAUAAGCAAGCAUACAGCUCACAGAAGCAGGCAGGUUGCUGGGGAGACAGCUCAGCUGUUCAGAGCACUCACUGCUCUUCCAGAACUUGGUGGUGUAGCUCUGAGCACCAGCUGGAGGGGCUGUGUAACUCUAGCUCUAGAGCGGGGCGUGUGAUGCCCCCUUCUGACCUCUGGCACAAAUACACACAUACACGCAAAUACUGAAAACCACAUUAGAACAUAAGGAAAGGGCUGGCUUGGUGGUGCAUGACUUUAAUUCCAACUCCCGUGAGGUCAAGGCCAGCCUGGUAUACAUAGUGAGUUCGAAGACAAUCAGAGAGCUACUAAGUGAGACCUAGUCUUCUGCAAAAUGGCCUGAAGUUCCCGGUUGGAGGUUUUCCUGCCCUAAAUCUACCCAGAGAGGAUGUGGCAUACAGCCCACCCCAUCCCUACUCACGGGCUCCAGUGUCUCGGGGGUGACUCAGGAAGCAGAAGAUCAGAGCCCACAUAGUGUCAGAGCAUGGUGUCAGGGUUGUUUUAAGUCUUCUAUGUCCUGAGAAAAACUAGAGAAAUCGCAGCUGUCUGCAAGAACCAGUCACUGAAAAGCAGUGUGGGUGGAGUGUGUUAGAGAGGGAGGAAGGCAGAUGAGGGCGGAUGCGAUAAUGAGCUUUGGGCUGGAUGUUUUUUCAGGGGUUCCUGCUGCCCACUAGGAUCUGUGCCUUUCUUUUGUGGGGAUGGAUCUGCUGGCCUACUGGUUAGUGGCCCCUAUGUGGGCUUUGAGCUCUGUGUGGGUUUUUGCUAAGUUUGGCUCUUUGCCAGCAGCUUUCAGCCUGUCUCCUUUCAGUUUGUGGUCGUCUCCUUCCAGCUUGUCGUCUCCUUCCAGCUUGUCGUCUCCUUCCAGCUUGUCGUCUCCUUCCAGCUUGUCUCCUUCCAGCUCAGCCAAGGAGACUUCAGAGCCCACCCCUGGCCCUUUGUGGCUUUUUCACAUCUUUCUGAGAGUGGAAUUACCUAAUGCAUCAGGGGCUCCCAGACAAGGUCCACUGUUCUACCUUAGUGUGCCAGUUGCUUUCUUUUUCCUUCUCACUAGUGAUCUGGGAUCUGCCUCCGGUCAAGAAUCCCAGACCCUUUGCUACACUGAAGCUGGAGGACAAGUGUGCCUCUCCGGCCUGGGAAGGAGAAAAAGAAGAGCAAGAAGCAAUUGACCCAUUGCUGAAGUACAAACUGAAACGGACAGACGUAAUGAACAGGCAGUGAGGACAUUCCGAAAGUGGAACAAAAGGUAACAAACUCCACCAACCAUGUUCUUCAGAAGAGGUCAGAAUUGAUCGCCAGGAUCCGAAAUUUUGGGGUAACAACCUUCAAAGUCCACUGGAAUCAGAUGACUCCAUGGCUAAACUUUUGGCGUGCAGGCAUGAGACCUGGUGCUGGGGUUCUUUUUCCCACCCUUCUCCAUCCCUCUUCUUUGUGCCCCCAUCUACUCCCAAGCACUAGAUAGGAGAGGAGAGGAAAGAGAUCCCUUAAUAAAGUCUGGUCAGAAAGUGGCAACAGUAUCAUUGGACUACUUCCUGCUGCCUGGGGGCAUUGAGCUCCAUGGGGUGAGUUUGAUCUUUGCAGUCAGAAUAUCUAAUUUUUUACUUCAUGUUUCUUCUUAUGAACGAGACCAACAGCAUUCAACAGCCCAGCCUGCCCCUCUGAAAAGUCCCCAGGAUUCCAAGCAUGGCACAGUUGCAGAAACUGUCUGCCGCUGGCAAAGUCAUGGCCCUGCUAAGGCAGGAGGCAAAUCAUGGUCAGGUGACUUGAAGCAGCCCCACGUCCCCACAGCUGGGAUUAAAAACAAAACCAUAUUCUUAUAGUUCAGUGUUUUUAAGGAAACCAAGAUUCCAAAAUCUUCACUCUAUGAGCUCGUCAGCCUGCGUGUGACUCUAAACUCCAGGGUGGAGCUUGGACUCCCCAGAGCAAGCUGGCCAGCCAUAUCGGUGGGCUGUGGGUUUGACUGAAGGCCUUGUCUUGAAUAGCCAGCCAUUGUUGUUCUUCUUGUGACUUGGGUUGGGUUUUGGUCUCUUACCCUGUUGCAGAGAGAUAGCCAUUGGUUAGGGUUUAAUUUAAUUUUUUUGUUACGAUUUUAUUGCUGUUGUGUUGGUCAUGGGGUUAUGUUGCAUGUGUGCUGUAGCGUGUACAGAGAGGUCAGAGGACCCUUCUACCUUUAGAACAUGGUGGAGUUCCAGGCAAAGAAGAGUUUGAAGAGGCCUCUUGGCUGUGGGUCCUUCCAGCCUUCCUUGGCAGCGAGGAGACAGGUAGGGGCUGUCCCAGCAUCUGUCCUAUCCCACCAGUCUGUCCAGUGCCGGGCAGUCAUUGGCUGCAGCCUUCAUCUGGGCAGGAGGAGGUGGACUCAGGUCACUGACUUCAGAGCACACACUUUACCCACAGAGCAAGCUCCCAGUUAUGUGGGAAACACCAGUUCAGGCCAUUACGUCCCUAGACCCACAUGCUCUGAGGAUCUCAACUUUUCAGUUCUGCAACAUGAAAUUUUGCUGUUGGGUACGGCUGGGUCUAACUGGUAUUCCAAAAGAGUAUUCAAGCUUGUGAACAGGAGCUAAGGGGGUGGCGACCAUAUUAAACCCUUUAAACCUGUGAUUGGUGGCGUUUCCCAGUCCUUUAAAGGGGCUGAGGAUGGGGGUGUGGGUGAGGGAGAGAUGUCUAAGACUUGUACAGUGGGGGCCCUGAGAUGGUUCUAUGGGGAAGAACUCUCACCACCAAGCCUGAUGACCUCAAGUCACAUUGAUUCCCAGGCCCACGUGGAAGGAGAGAACCAGUUCCCUAAAACUGUCCUAUGAUCUCUGUACACAUUUAUGUCAUGGAUGCACCUACACAGACCUACACACAAAACAAAUGCUUCAAAAAAAACCCCCCAGAAAACAAAAAAAAUCCCAAUGCUGCUCCCCUAUCCCCACCCCCGAAUAAACCUUGAGCUGGCAAAAUGACUGUUUGGAAAAGGAAAUUACUACCAAGGCUAUCGGUCUGAUUGGAUAUGGGCAGUUUUCCGGUCGGCCUGUGGGGAAAAAGAAACUUAAGGCCAGGAACUGGAAAGUGAAAGUAGAGGAGCUGUGGGCGGGGCUUGUUCCCCAGCCAGCACUCUUACAUAACAGUGCCUGGCUUCAGUACCUUGUUUACUGGCUUUGUGCGUUUGCAUUCUGAAAGACUGAAGCUGUGGAUGACACUGGCUGCAAGGUCCCAGAGGCAGUAAUUAGGGUAACCCGCUCUCUUGAACCUUUGCCUAAAACUCUAGUGAGCGUGGGAGGCACAACCCAGCACCUGCUGGAUAAAGGGUUACUUUGACUCAUUCCUUUUUCUCUUGUGCAGUCUGUUGUCAGCCCUCCCAGGCUAAGGAGCGCCUAAACCCAUGCUCUCUCCCUGUCCCCCCUUUCUUCUUUGCCAUGCGUGUGCCAAAGAUUAAUUCUCCUGAUGUUGAUUUUAGAACAGGGACAGGACAGACAAAACUUCUACAUAAGUCUGCUGGGGAGAGGAGAGCAGGAGGAGGAAGACAGGAUGCUCAUUGAGUAACAAAGGAAUCCUUGUUUCUUUUACCCAGGCCCCGCCUUGCACUGCAACUUUCCAGCCAGGUUUCUACAGAAAUCUCCACUGCCCUUUGUUUGCCAUUUGUCCGCUGCUUAGCAUUGACUACCUGGAACUGCCAGGCUCCCCAAACCUUUAUAUAUAAUCAUUUCCCAAGUGAGUUCCCAAAGCCAAGGCUGCCUCUGGCCAUAAGAGGUCAGUGUGAGGGGCUGGAGCAGUGACUCAGUGGUUAAGAGCACUGGCUGCUUUUCCAGGGGAUCUGGGUUCAAAUCCCAGCACCUGCAUGGAGACGGAGGCUCACAACCACCUCUAACUCCAGCUCCAGGGGUGAUAACGACCUCUUCUGGUCUCUGAGGGCACCAGGCAUGUAAGGGAUGCACAGAUAUGCAUGUAAACAAAGCAUGCAUUUAAUACAUUUAAAGAAGGUUUUAAGAGAUGGGUGUGAUAGAACACCUGACCAUCACCAUCAUGGGACAGGAGCUGCCCUGGUGACUGAGCCGAGACCCCACCUUGUGGCCAACAAUGGCAUAGGCCACAUAUAAAAUUGAGGGGGCUGUUGGCAUUUUUCUGUUGGGAACAAGGGAGCUAACUUUAUAGAUAGCUGCCCUCCUAGAGUCAUUAGCCGCCACCUCCUCCCUGUUCGCUGCCAUUGGCUGAUACUAAGAUUGUUAGUGCAUCUUAAAGGAAACCUAAACCAGGGCAGGGGCAGUUGGGAGGCACGACCACCCGAGGUUAUACCCAGUGAUCCAUACACUGCCUUGAGUUGGACCCAUUACUCAUGGGUGAGCCUUUCCGUCAUUUUCUGAGGGGUUGGUACUGUCCAAACUCAUUAGAAUGUGGUCUGCUGUGUGAGAUGAGAGUGCCCUGCCAGAGUUUAGUCUCUGUUUGUUUUAUAAAGUGUCCAGACAGAGAGCAGCCUGAGGGAGGGAGGGAGGACUUUAUUCAGUUUAUAAUUCCAGGUUACAGUUAUCAGGAAGCCAAGGAAGCAGGGAUUUAGAACAGCCAGCCAUGCCACAGUCAGAAACACAGCCAGCCAUGCCACAGUCAGAGGCACAGCCAGCUAUGCCACAAUCAGAGGCACAGCCAUCCAUGCCACAGUCAGAGGCACAGCCAUCCAUGCCACAGUCAGAGGCACAGCCAUCCAUGCCACAGUCAGAGGCACAGCCAGCCAUGCCACAGUCAGAGGCACAGCCAGCCAUGCCACAGUCAGAGGCACAGCCAGCCAUGCCACAGUCAGAGGCAGAGAGAAUUAGUGCACACUGUAGGCUCGUUUGUUUGCUCAGUGCAGUCUUUUCACUCAUAGAAUGGAGGACCCGCUGCUGAGGGAAUAGUAAGACUGUCCAUUGUCCAAUCCAGUGAGUUUGUAGUCCCUGGACGUAGCAUGUUUGGGAAAGUGGCUGGGAAGUGGAAUGUCCCCACCCUUGGUAGUGAGAGAUGCUGCUGAGUACAAACUAUCCCCUAAAUGGGGAAGCCUACAGGAAGGAGACUUUAUCAGCAGAUAAGGCAAAAAAUAAUAAAAUUAGUAAAAAGGAAGCUAAAGAUGCUAACUUGCACAUUCUACGCUGGUAGGGUGAAAAAAAAAAAAAACACCCCACAGAGGUCAGUUCCACACGGGGCUAGAGAGCUUAUCCUGAGCUCCAAAGCCAUGGGCACGUGGGGAGACAGAUCCAGGUAGUGGGGGUCCGCGAUACGAAGAGUAGCUGAUUUAAAGGCUUGGCACUUCCAUGAAAGAGACAGUAUCUAUUUCAGCAUUAACAACAGCCCCAUACAAGGAAAUUUGGUGUCCCCAAAGUUUCCCUUCCUGAUCUAGUAAAAUUAGGGGCAGCGUUACGCAGGCUCAUGGGAACCCCUGUGGUGUGUCUGCAGGAUGUGAGAGUGAGGAGGGGAGUGCAGCAGAGGAGGUGAGGCCGCCCCACGCACCCCUUUGCUGCCUUCUGGUGAACUUUAAAUGCCAGUUUGACAGAACCCAGAGUUUCAGGGGAACAGAAACUCAGCUGAGGAGUUGUCUACAUCAGAUUGGCCAGUGGGCAUGACUCUGGGGGGUUUCCCUGGUUGACCGUACUUACUAUCUUAGGCUGUGCCACCCUAGGCAGGCGGUCCCAGCCGCAUAAGAAAGCUGAGCACAGCCCACCCCUGCCAGUUAGCAGCCACGUCUUUCAUGGUCCCUGCCAAACUUCUCUGUGUCCUUGGUCAUAUGUGUGGGGUGACAAGCAGGCAACGUGGACACAUUCAUUUCUCUUGACUGUGGACGUGGUGUGAGCAGCUGUCUCAGGCUCCCGCCACCGUGGCUUCCCUCCGUGAUGGACUGACUGUACCCUGGAAUUGUAAGCCAGAUAGACUUUCCCAUCCCUGCUUUGUGUUUUGGCUAAAGUGCUUUAUCUCAGCAAUAGAAAAGAAACUAGAACACAUUGCUAGGGUGAUUUGCAGCAACAUGAGGGGAAUCCACCUGUGAGACCUCUUAGAUAGUGGGUCUGCAUAGCUAAUGUGGUGGGCUGUGGACAAAGGCAAGGCCUUAGAGUGCACAGUUAGGAAUCAAAAGGUGCAGUGUGUUUAAGCUGUUGCUGCCAGUGCACACUCUGGCUUUGUCACAUGAGUCUGCCGCAGCCUUGUUUCUGAACAGGUAAGGUCACCCCACCCUGUGGACCACGGAACCAUGGUCCAAUUACAGGAAACAAAGACACUAUUGUCCUCAGUGUGUAAGCCUGCCUUUGGAUUACACUAUGCUAGAGUGGUUUUAAAGGCUGAAGGACGACUCAGCAAUUCACAGCACCAACUGUUCUUGGAGAGGACGGGGGGGGGGGGUUCAGCUCCCACCACUUACACAAUGGCUCACAACUGUCUGUAACUCCAGGUCCUGGGAACUGAUGCUUCUUCUGGCCCCCAAUGGCACCAAACACACCAUGGCACACAGAUAUGCAUUCAGGCACUCCCACAAAAUAAAAAAAUAUUUUAAAACUUGGUAUUUGAGUUGCUGACUUAAGUCUUACAAAAGCAAAGAACUGCUCCAGCAGGGGAUCCAGUUGGUUAGAACACAUGAAACCCUGAGUUUUGUAGUCAGCACUGCAUAAAGCAUGCAUUAUGUCACGUCCACAGCCACCGAGCAAAUAUGAGGCCAGCCUGGGGUACGCAAAAGACCCUGUUUCAAAACAUAGACACCAAAACAAGACAACAAACAACAAACAAACAAAAAACCACAAAACAUUGUUAAGUGAGUUUGGGCUUGGGAUUAGGACCUGUUUUUUGAAUGGCCUUAAAUAUACCUCUGUCAUCCUGCUCCAUGGAUUUAUAUGAAGUGGCAUUCUCAGUACUGAUGACUGUCAAAUCAAAUUAUCAAUAACAAUGAAAAACAUCAAGGGCGCUCUGUUCUUCAGGAUCAAUACUUGGCCGAUAUUCAGUCCCAUCCCUGCCCACGUCUGUUUUCAGGAGCUUAGUAGCCUAGGCUGGCCAUGAACUCACUGUGUAAAUGAGGAUGACUUUGAACUCCUGAUCCUUGUUUCUCUACUUCUCAAACGCUGGGAUUACAGGCCUGCCACACCUGACCGAGUUUAAAUCUAAAAAAGCAAGCCACAUAGAAAUUUGCUUUAGUUUUUAAUAACUUAUAAAAAUUAUAUAUGUAUGUCAAAUAAUACUUUUUGGUUGGUUGGUUGGUUGGUUUUUCAAGACAGUUUCUCCAUGUUGCCUUUGCUGUCCUGGAACUCUCUGUAGACCAGGCUGUCCUCAAACUCAGAGAUCCACCUGCCUCUGCCCCACAAACGUUCAGAUUAGAGGUGUGCACCACCACCACAGGCCAAAGAAGUCUUAAGGAGAAAGUUUUAGAAGCCUCGCUCUGAUGGAUUAAUUUAUAUUCCAUAUCCAUGAUACUUUCCUGCCCCAUUGAAAACUACACAAGAAGGCAAGGCUUUGCUGGGAAUCGGUAAUGAGGGAGGCACCACUUCAUGCACAAUCCCAUGGUCCAGACUGGACUGUGUUUACAGUACCUGGGAGAUGCUGACUCAACAGGGGCCAAAAGAAUUGGCAUAGCACCAGGCAUGGUGCCUCACUCAUUUAAUCCUAGCACUCAGGAGGCCGAGGCAGGCAGAUCUCUCUGAGUUUGAGGCCAGCCUGGUCUAUACAGUGAACUGCUAGCCAGCCAAAGCUACCUGGUGACACUCUGUCUCAAAAAAAAAAAAAAAAAAGUUAGGGGCUGGAGAGAUGGCUCAGUGGUUAAGAGCACUGGCUGCUCUUCCAGAGGUCCUGAGUUCAAUUCCCAGCACCCACGUGGUGACUCAUAGCCAUCUGUACUGAGAUCUGAUGCCCUCUUCUGGUGUGUCUGAAGACAGCUACAGUGUGCCUAAAUACAUAAAAUAAAUUGGUCGGCCUUUAAACUCUUUCUUCCAUAAGUUGCCUUUGUCAUGGUGUCUUAUCACAGCAAAGAGCGGCUCUAGGGGAGCAGACUCUUUUACGAAUCUGGAGUUGCUUUAAUAAUUCACCAGCACCUUCAACUACUGAGACCUCACCAGAUACUCUCUCUCCAGCAGCCACGGAGCUCAAGUUGCAGAAAAUCAAACAGAAGCCCUCAUUAUAAGGUUGGGUGAGUUACAACAAAAAUUGAAGUCUCAGCCUCAGAGAGGGUCAGCAGGACCCGUGCAAAGCUGAUCCAACGAGGGCCAAAGGAACCGGUUACACAGGCUCUGGUUACACUGCAGAUGCACUAGUGGGCAUGAGCCACGAUGCACAUGAGAGGCAGUGGAGACCUGGCUGGUUUGGAUCUCCAUGGUGGUGGGCUCUGUCAGGAUGAAGCUGAGCAUCUCCUUCCCAGCCACUGGCUGCCAGCAACUCCUGGACAAUGAAGCAAGCUCUGCCUAUUCCAGAGGCGAGAGGUUACAGAAGUAGUUGCUGAUCCUCUGGGUGAAUAGUGGAGAGGCUACAUGGUCUGAACCAGUGGUGGGAACAGCCGAGAAGGGUUUCCCUUGAAAGGGCCCAGCAAGGUGUGUGGACCUGCUGUUGUGUAAACCUCUUGUUAGAGACCAAAGAAAACCGGAGAGGGGCAGCCAGAGCCUGUCUGCAGUCACAUUAUGGAUGCCGGUCUGAUUUCUCAACUUGAUUAUCAUAAGCGAAGGAGAGGAGACUCCCAGACAGAGAGACAUGACUGUGCUUCAGCGGUUAGGACCCAGAAGAACUGCAGAAACUGAAAGCUUUUCAGUCUUUCUGAAGAGGCUGAUGGUGUCGGCCAACACAUUGUCAGAAACCACCACAGCUCCUAUGAUGGCCACAGCUCCAAGGACAACCAGGACAGCAAUGAUUCCCAUGUUGGAGUUGGUGGAUGGAGGAGCCUCAGUGAAGGACAGGAUCACACAACCAAAUGGGAAUGAGAACUGCCAUCUGUCAGCAGUGCCCUGGCUGAAGGACCUGACACAGUUUAGGAACAAAAGUGAAGCAGGGGAAACUGGGAAUGCCCUUCUCUCUUCCCCACCUGACUUGACCUGCAGACUAAAAGUUUGCCCCAACACUUAAAAGGAGAAUACCUGGAUAAGAAGGUGGUGGGCUCUGUCAGGAUGAAGCUGAGCAUCUCCUUCCCAGCCACUGGCUGCCAGCAACUCCUGGACAAUGAAGCAAGCUCUGCCUAUUCCACGAGAGGCGAGAGGUUACAGAAGUAGUUGCUGAUCCUCUGGGUGAAUAGUGGAGGGGCUACAUGGUCUGAACCAGUGGUGGGAACAGCCGAGAAGGGUUUCCCUUGAAAGGGCCCAGCAAGGUGUGUGGACCUGCUGUUGUGUAAAACUCUUGUUAGAGACCAAUGAAAACCGGAGAGAGGCAGCCCGAGCCUGUCUGCAGUCACAUUAUGGAUGCCGGUCUGAGUUCUCAACUUGGUUAUCAUAAGUGAAGGAGAGGAGACUCCCGGACUGACAGACAUGACUGUGCUUCAGUGCUUAGGGCCCAGAAGAACUGCAGAACUUGAAAGCUUUUCAGUCUUUCUGAAGAGGCUGAUGGUGUCGGCCUACAGGUUGUCAGAAAGUAAGCAGAGGAUGUAGAAGCCGAGGACCAAAGCCCCCAACAUCCAGCAGCUCUUUACACCAGCAAAACGCUGAUGUAUUGUUCAGUGGAGACACCAUGCUGUGGAGACGGAGGAGAAGCUGCAGCUAAGUGUUGGGCCAGGAGAAUGAAGGAAGUCAAAAUGGGGGAAAAUGCCAGGAACAGACUCCCAAGAGAUGUAGCCUGCUUCCACUUCCAAGUCAACAAAAAAUGAUCCAACUUUCAGAAAUACAUUUUGGUGGCUUGAGAGAGCAGCCAGAGGGCUCAGUGGGUAAAGGCACUUACACACCUGAGUUUCAUCCCUGGACCCACCUGGUGGAAGAAGAAAACGGACUCCAGCAAGUUGUCCUCUCUCCCCCACACCUGGGCUCGCACAUGCACACACACAAUACAUGAAUAGAUUUGAGACACCUUAAAAUACCAAAAAUAGAAUUUUUUUAUUAAACCCCAUUUCUACUAGUCCACAAUUCUUUUCUGCAUCAAAGUAAUUGGUCCCAACUUGACCUGAUUAAAUGUCCCCAAAACAUUGGGGGUAGUAGCCAGAAUGAGGUGUGUGAGAGGAUGGAGCUUGGCCCCCUCUCUGUGUCCCUUGACAACAUGGCAAAAUGCCUGACAAGAAGCCACUUAGAGAAGAGAGAGGUGGACAGAUCUUCAAGACAGAAAGGAGGGACCUGUUUCUGUCCAGUGUGGUAAGAAGUGGCCUGCUCCUGCCCUGGUCAUGAAGGAGUCCUGCUGGUGUGCUGCUGGUUUUCUCUUGAGACUCUGCCUAAGCCACCUGAAUGCCUUGUUGGCUAAACCUGUCUAGAGACACCCUCACAGCCACCCAAAGGGGCGUCUCCCAGGUCCUUCUAAAUCCAGUCGAGUUGACAAUGAAGAUUGGCCAACUGAUGGGAUAUAAAAGGAAAGAUUCCAUUCUUCAGUAGAUGUUGCAGGCGAUCCCAUAGGGGCGGUGGGGGAGGGGGCACAGCAGGCAGGGGAUCCUACAGGGCGGUGGGGGAGGGGGCACAGCAGGAAGGCGAUCCUACAGGGCGGUGGGGGAGGGGGCACAGCUGCACGUGUUCUGUUGAGCAUGUUCCUGAGUGAGGAGACUAAGCAAAGCCUUCUGAAAGCCACAGGGAAACAACACCCACAGUGGGAGCAGGGAGGACAGGCUGGUACCUCUUUUAGAAUGACAAGCUAAGCAAUCCUAAAGUCCCAGAGCGGAAUCCUAGAUGAGUUCUGUAGUUCUCAGUAUUCCAAGAGGGACCCUCGAUCUCCUACAAGAGUCAAAGCACAUUCAGGGCAGUUAUCAUAACUGGCGAUGUCCCAAAUAUCUCGCUCCUCACUCAGAGUACCCAAAUCCAAAGAUUCUAUACGCCCAUCAGGAGUCCUCUGUGCCACCCCAUGUCUUACCUGAUCAUCCACAACAAUCCUGCAAGAGUCUUGGGGACUGUCUCCAUCUAGGGAAGAACAAAACAGGACCCAGUCACACUUCAGAAGGCUGGAGGCUAAAGGAGGAACUAUGGGCUGGUGAGCUCCCAUGGGCCCCGAGGGUCUCAGAGAUCACCCCUCACCACACUCACCUGCUUCCUGGUGUCGUGCCUUCCUCUUUCACCUGAGGAAAGAAAACCAUGUAUGCAUGACAUGGGAGCACAAUCUUCCUAAUGCUGCAAUCUUUAAUACUAUAUCAUGUUGCAAUGACCCCCAACCAUAAAGUUACUUUGUUGCUACUUCAUAA